ACUUGGGUGGUCGGACUAGUCGGGUUCUCGACCAUUCAAGUUUAUCAGGGAUGGGGUGUACCUCUUUACUAUAACUCUCGCGAUAACUAGCUGCAGUGAAGUAUUUCUCUGUGAAGGCAUACACAUCCUUUUUACAUGAUAUGAGAGCAGCAAUGGCGUGAGAACAUGGUAUCCUAUACAACUGCCAAUCACGGCAAGAACAAGAUUGGGUACCUGUAUUCACAAUGUCUGAACGCUCGGCUGAGAUAACUUCAAAUUCAACUUCAUCGGACCUUAGCACUUGAUAAGUGGAAGCCUGAGUUUUUCCAUCCAUAAUGCGUUUCUCAGCAGAUGGAGAAAGGGUAGAACUCCAUGUGCUACUCCUUGAUCGCCG
rnacentral:lncRNA from 1 species